AUACGUAGGUGACAAGCGUUAUCCGGAUUUACUGGGCGUAAAGGGCGUGUAGGCGGUCUUGCAAGUCAGAAGUGAAAUUCCUGAGCUCAACUCGGGCGCUGCUUCUGAAACUGCAGGACUUGAGUGCUGGAGGGGAUAGCGGAAUUCCUAGUGGAGCGGUAAAAUGCGCAGAUAUUAGGAAGAACACCGGUGGCGAAGGCGGAUAUCUAGACAGUAACUGACGCUGAGCCGCGAAAGCGGGGGGAGAAAACAGGGUGAGAGAUCCGGGUAGUCCCCGCCGUAAACGAUGAAUACUAGGUGUAGGGGGUAUCGACUCCCUCUGUGCCGCAGUUAACACAAUAAGUAUUCCGCCUGGGGAGUACGGCCGCAAGGUUGAAACUCAAAGGAAUUGACGGGG
rnacentral:rRNA from 1 species